AGUGAACGCUGGCGGUAGGCCUAACACAUGCAAGUCGAACGGUAGCACAGUAAGUGCUUGCUCUUACGUGUGGCGAGCGGCGGACGGGUGAGGUAUAUAUCGGAAUCUUCUUUUUCGUGGGGGAUAACGUAGGGAAACGUACGCGAAUACCGCAUACGACCUACGGGUGAAAGCAGGGGAUCUUUGGGCCUUGUGCGAUUGUAUUAGCCGAUGUUGGAUUAGCUAGUUGGCGGGUUAAAGGCCCAGCAAUGCGACGAUCCGUAGCUGGUCUGAGGGGAUGAUCAGCCACACUGGAAGUGAGACACGGUCCCUACUCCUGCGGUAGGACGCAGUGCAGAAUAUUAGACAAUGGAGGCAAGCCUGAUACAGCCAUACGGCGUGAGUGCAGAAGCACCUCGGGUGGGAAAGCCCUUUUGUUGGGAGGGAAAAGCAGCUGGUUAACACCCCGCUGUUAUGACGGUACCGGAAGAAUAAGCACCGGCUAACUUCGUG
rnacentral:rRNA from 1 species